CCUAAAUCUCUUUUCAUCCCUCCGCGCCUCCGCCAACUCUUUUCUCCACCCUCCGCCACGCACCGCCACCCUCGCUCGUCGGUGCUCCUCCUUCCCCACGACCAGUGGCUCCUCCUUCCCCACGACCGGAAAACGUCGUCACGCCGUUGAGGAGAGACCGUCAUCGACUGCUGCGGUAUGCCCUCAUUCAUUCCUUCUCCCUCACUAUUCACCAAAUCCGAAGAUUUCAAAUCUUUGAGCUUUAUCCACCAAAUUCAGUUGUAGCAAAAUUCCAAGACUUGCAGUUGAAGAUGUCAAAUUCAUAGUCUUUCACCCAAGACAUUGGGAGCAAUCAGCCAUUCUAUGAUAUGCUUUAAGACAUUGAAGUUGAAGAACUAGGGCUCGAGGGAGAGGGAAUGGCGUCGAAGGAAUCAAAAAAGCGUAAACAUGUAAUGAGGUUGGAUAUAUGAAAAGAAUUUGAUAGAGUGAUUGAAGAUUCAAUUCACAAAGGAAAAAGUAAAAGGUGUAAAAAGUUGAUAGCAGCUGAUCCGAAGAACAAUGGAACAUCCGCGAUGCGGAAGCAUUAUGCUCCAUGUUUGAAGAAACAUGAAGCGGAAAAGAAUCAAACACCGCUCAACCAAGAUGAAUUGCGGUAAGACAUCCAAGAAAGGGGCUGAUACGCUUUAUGCAGGCUGAUUAUUCUUGAUGAACAACCAUUCAGAUCCGUGGAACGAGAGGCAUUUCGUUUAUUCUGCCAUGAUAUGUUACCAAACUUUAAGAUCCCGAGCAGAUACACGAUAAGAUCUGAUUGUGUGAAGAUGUUUGUAGAGGAGAGGGGACUAUUGAAAGUGAUUUUCUCUAUACCAGGCAUGGGUAGAGUAUCAAUUACCACUGAUUGUUGGACUGGAGUCAAAUAACACAAGAUUUACUUGUGUUACACCACAUUUCAUCGACAAGGAAUGGCUGUUGCACAAGAAAAUAAUUAGCUUCUUUGAGAUUACUAGUCAUAAGGGGAUGAUAUUGCUAAGGUGUUGAUAAAGGCUCUUACGAACUGGGGCAUACAUAGGCUUUUUUGUUGCACCAUGGACAAUGCUAAAAUAAUGGUGUAGCAAAUAAGGAAAUGAAGUCCACCUUUAAUGCGAGAGGCAGGCUUGUUGCCAAUGGGCAAUAUUUUCAUAGGUGUGUUGCACAUAUACUUAACUUGGUUGUCGAAGACGGCAUGAAACAAAUAGGCAUAGCUGUUGUACGAGUUAGAGAAGCCGUGAAAUGGUUAAAGGGUUCAUCAACUAGGUCCAAGGCUUUCAAGGAUAUAACCAAGGUAUGUAAGGUUGAUACCAAAAAAUUCUUGGGUCAAUAUGUGCCUACUAGAGGGAACUCGACUUACUUAAUGCUCGAGGCGGCAUUGCCAUAUGAGCCGGCUAUGAAGCUGUUCAGCAACAUCACUCUCCAGUUUGGUAGGGAUUUGAGAAACCUGAAACACAAUGACCUCACAGGUGGCGCACCUGGGGAAGAAGAUUGGAUUGAAGUGAGGAAGAUGUGUAGUUUUCUCCAAUCGUUUUAUGAUAUGACUCGUCUCGUCUCUGGCAUCACGUAUACCACAUAACAAUCAUUUUUAUGGAUAUGUGUGACUUAUUCAUUAUCAUAAAAAGGUUGGAGAAUGAUGAAGAUGUUGAGGUUAGAUACAUGGCCAAGAAGAUGAUGGUAAAGCUUGGUAAGUAUUGGUUAGAGGAACAUGAACUUAAUCUAAACAUGAACAAAAUUCUAUACAUUGUUGCAAUGCUAGAUCCUAGACAAAUGAUGAAGCAUGUGCAGCAUUGUUUGAAGACGGUGUAUAGUGACGCAUGAGCAAAUGAGUUGGCAGAGGAGUUGAGAAAGUCAAUCUUUGACUCAUUUGAGUUGUACAAGAGAGAAUUCACUCCAGUGGCUGACCAAACAGCUUCAGCUAACCAAAUGUCGAAUAGAUUGACUGAUCUGCGAUUUCUUGAUGUAUAGAAGAAAUUCGCCAGGUCCAGGAAAAGAAGGAGACAAUCACACGCCCGAGG